GUGUGUAUGUAUCACUGCACACACAUCCUCACUCUGACAGAGGGAGUCUGCUCUGUACAGAACACACAGUUUCGCUUCGGUCUUUGUGUGCAUGGAAGUGUGUGUAUGUGUGUGUCUGUUUGUGUGUGUGUGUGUGUGUGAGGACCACGCUCCAACAUGUUGUGUGGACUGCGGAGAGAAGUAAAGAGCAGCUUUGAUGAUGGGCCUUACUCCAAAGGCAACAAGGAAUCUACAGGUCCUGACAGUUCCCUUGUCUCCAGAAGACAGAGCAUCCCAGAAGAGCUGCGGGGGGUGACACUCGUGGAGCUGAUUAAGAAGGAGGGCAGCACACUGGGUCUCACCAUCUCAGGAGGAACAGACAAAGAUGGAAAACCUCGUGUCUCCAACCUCAGACCAGGAGGCCUAGCAGCCAGGAGUGACCAGCUGAAUGUGGGCGACUAUAUAAAGUCAGUGAACGGCAUCAAUCUGACUAAGCUGCGUCAUGAUGAGAUCAUCAGCCUGCUGAAGAACGUGGGCGAGCGUGUAGUGCUGGAAGUGGAGUAUGAGCUGCCUCCAGCCGGAUCAGACAGCACCUCAGGUGUUAUAUCAAAGACAAUCGAGAUUUGUUUACACAAGGAAGGCAAUAGUUUUGGCUUUGUAAUGCGGGGAGGCUCUCAUGAAGACUGGCACAAAACUCGCCCAUUAGUAGUUACAUACAUUCGGCCAGGAGGUCCCGCUGACAGAGAGGGCACACUGAAGGCAGGUGAUCGGCUCCUCAGUGUGGAUGGUGUGCCGUUACACAGUGCCAGCCACAGUGAAGCCCUUAAUGUGCUGGCACAGUGUAGCCAGGAGGCCAUCUUCCAAAUUGAAUAUGAUGUGACCAUUAUGGAUUCAGUAACAAAUGCCUCUGGCCCAUUGCUGGUGGAAAUAGCCAAAUCUCCUGGAGCAAGUCUGGGCAUCACAUUAACUUCUGCCACACACAGGAACAAACAGGUGAUCAUCAUUGACAAGAUCAAAGCUGCCAGCGUGGUCGACAGAUCAGGAGCUUUACACGUAGGUGAUCACAUCCUCACCAUCGACAGCACAAGUACAGAGCACUGCACCAUGCUGGAGGCCACUCAGCUGUUAGCCAGCACCUCAGAUGUGGCCAAGCUAGAGAUCCUUCCUGCUCAUCACAUGCGAUUGACCAGCAAAGCUCAGGACACUGUGAAGGUCCAGAAAAGCGACCACCCACAUUCUUGGGACCCGUGUGUGAACUACUGCCAUUCUCAGCAUACUACUCACUGUAAGACUUCCACGUGGAUGUCCACCUCGAGCAAUGCAUCCAGCACUCAGGACUACUGCAAAUCUGUAGUCUGCACUAAUUUCUCCCCCGCCUCCACCACUACAUCGGGCAUGACGAGUCAGUCAUCCAGCACUCUGCCCCGCACUCCCCAUCCCAUGAGCCCCCGCAACUCCAUGCUCAAGAGGAGACAGAGGAAAAAAGAGCACAAGAGCUCAUCAGCAUCUCUAGCCUCAAGUUCAGUGGGUCCUGGAGGUCAGAUAGUUCAUACAGAGUCCAGCGAGGUCACUCUAACAGGAGAUCCUCUCAGCGGCUUCGGAGUUCAGCUGCAGGGGGGGAUAUUCGCCACUGAGACGCUAUCCGCACCUCCAGUGAUCCGAUUUAUAGAGCCUGACAGCUCAGCUGAAAAGUGUGGGCUGCUCCAGGUUGGCGACCGGCUCUUGUCAAUCAAUGGCAUUCCCACAGAGGAUGGCACGAUGGAGGAGGCCAAUCAGCUGCUCCGAGAUGCUGCUUUGACUAAUAAGGUCAUGCUAGAGAUUGAGUUUGAUGUAGCAGAGUCAGUAGUGCCCAGUAGCGGUACCUUUCAUGUGAAGCUGCCAAAGAAGAGAGGAGUCGAGCUUGGGAUCACAAUCAGUGCCAGUAAAAAGCCGGGCGAGCCUCUGAUCAUAUCUGACAUAAAGAAAGGAAGCAUGGCUCACAGAACAGGGACUUUGGAGCCUGGAGACAAGCUGCUGGCUAUAGAUAACAUUCGACUGGAGAGCUGCUCAAUGGAAGAUGCGAUGCAGAUCCUUCAACAGAGUGAAGACCUGGUCAAGCUCAAGAUCCGCAAGGAUGAAGACAACUCUGAUGAACAGGAGACAUCAGGCUCCAUUAUCUACACAGUGGAGCUGAAGCGGUAUGGCGGCCCCCUGGGCAUCACCAUCUCAGGCACCGAGGAGCCCUUUGACCCCAUCGUCAUCUCAGGCCUCACCAAGAGAGGUCUAGCUGAAAGAACAGGGGCUAUUCAUGUUGGAGAUCGUAUCCUUGCCAUUAACAACGUGAGUCUGAAAGGCAAACCUCUGAGUGAAGCUAUCCACUUACUUCAAAUGGCUGGCGAGAGCGUGACGCUGAAAAUCAAAAAGCAGAUCGAUGUGGCAGAUGAGAAGAAGAACACUAUAGAUCUUGAUAACGAGCUCAGCGAUAAUGAUGACUCGGAAAUGACGGACUCUCAAAAGACCAGUAAAUUGUCCGAGAUCUACUCCACCACCAUUCCCAGCGUAGACUCGGCUAUGGAAUCAUGGGAUGGAUCUACUAUAGAUGCUAGUUAUGGGAGCCAAAGCUACAUCCAGCAGGUAGCAGGUAUCGCGUUACAUCCACAUGAGUGGCGCAGUGCCACGAACAGGAACAGCACCCCACCUCCUGGCCACCGCAAGAAUUACCUACUGAGUGAUGGAGGAUUCAGUGAGGAGGACUGGGACAAGAAUGCUGGAUUUGCCAGCCAGACUCAUGCUGAUGGCAUCGUGCUGGACCAUGAGGACAACUUCUGGUGCCAGGCCCUGGAAGACUUGGAGACGUGUGGGCAGUCAGAACUCCUCCGUGAGAUCGAGGCCUCCAUAAUGACUGGCAGCACUGUGAGUUUGGGUGUAGAGAGCACCAAGUCUCACAGUGAAUCAGGGAGCCAGGCCAACAUCAGCCCUCUCAGAAAGAGCUCGCAUCUUCGCAAUGAGGCAAAGAGCAAGAGCACGCUACGCAUGUCAGAGAAGACAUGGGAAUCAAGGAGGAUCAAGGAGGAGAUGCAAGAGAUCCUGUCACCCACCCCACUAGAGCUACACAAGGUGACGGUGAUUAAGGAUCCAGAAAGAGAUGAUUUUGGCUUCAGUGUGUCAGAUGGUUUCUUGGAGAAAGGUGUCUACGUGAACAUGAUCCGGCCCGAGGGUCCAGCAGACCGUGCAGGACUCAGGCCGUAUGACAGGAUCCUCCAGGUCAAUCAUGUGCGAACACGAGAUUUUGACUGCUGCUUGGCCGUGCCUCUUAUCACAGAAGCUGGAGAUAAACUGGAGCUGGUUAUAAGCAGAAACCCAUUAGCUCAGCCUGGUGUUGGUCAGCCCCUCGACUGCCAUUCACUCUCAGCUCCUUUGACUCACAGCCGAGAACACAGCAACAGCACCAUGGACCUGUGACAGCACACUGACUUGGGGCUUACACCCUGAAAGGACAAUACAAAUUCACCAGGAACUGCUGUACAUGCCAUUCAACACAAUCUGGAUCUUGGACUAUAUGUUCAACAAAUGUGACCGUUUUGGAUUUCGGUUUUCAGUAAAAACAUAAGCAGUGAUUUGUGCUAAUGUUUUAAUUUUUUUUGUUGAACAGAACUGUGAUUAUAGUGAAACAGGAAGUGUGAACGAGCUACUAGACCCUGUCCAACACUUACAGAGUCUUCUUGUUUUCACAGUAAACAAAGAGCUACUUCUUGUCCAGCAGCAUAAAAAAAGAAAUGAUCCUGGAUGAAGGUAAAAUUUUACACCAGUGUGUAUAGUGUACACGUUUGUUGUCUUUCCAUGAUGACCACUUCAGAAAAAAGAACAUGCCAUGCAUAACGUUUUUAUUAAACACUGUAUUUUUCCACUAUAAAACCAAGCCAUGAACUCAGCUCUUUGGAUAAGCAAGUUUCAAAAUUUGUUUGGCACUGACAGGCCAAAUACAACCCUGUCACAUGCUCAGUCACAAAAUCUCUCUCUCUCUCACUCUCUCUCUUACUCUCACUCCCUCUUUUCUAGCCAUUCUUUCUCGCCCACUCAUACACUGGACUAAAGAGUGGACGAAAACAAUGCACAAGAGGACCGAAUCAGGUUAAAUCGAAACCUAAGAAAGACGCAGUUCAAAGAUCAAAGAUCCGACAUGACACACUAUUCCUUUAUUUGACCGAGGCGGGACAAUCAGUUGGUUUUGUUUGUACAAGAAGACAAAUUAAUUUCUUACAUCUCCAACUGCACACACCUCCUCAAGCAGUGACGAAAUAGAAACAAACACAACCCUGUUAUACCAGCAACAAUAUUACGUAAUCAGGAAAAAGAAAAAUGGACUUUGCACACAGACACACACACACACACACACACACACACCCCAGUGUUUGCUGUUAGAUUUGAUACUCAGAAAGGCUUUUAUGCUCAUGACCCCUUCUUAUUUGUUCUUCUCCUACAUAAACUUUUCCACAUUUUAUAGUGUUAUAACCUGUAAUUAAAAUGGAUUUAGUUGCCAUUUUUACCAUUUGAUUUACAAAAUAUAUUUAUUUAAAGGUGCAAAAUAAUUUUAAUUGUGACAAAAAAUUUUUUAACCAAUUAACCAAAAAAGCAGACAUUUUUUUUGGUUUACAUAUUUACUCACCCCCUUGAUCGAACCACCUUUGAUUCCUAUUCUCCUGCAAUUUGAUUGAGGUUUGGAAUUUAAAUGGGCCAUUCUAUCAUAUUCCAGUUAUUGGUUUUGAACCACUCCAGCCUAGAUUUGGCAGAAUGCUUAGGGUUGCUAUCCUGUUGGACAGUGAACCUCCACCCCAGUCUCAAAUUUCUUACAGACUGGAACAGGUUUGUUUCUAGGGUUGCCCUGUAUUAGGCUCCAUCCAACUUGCCCUCAACUCUGAGCAGUUUCACAGUCCCUUAGGAUAUAAGCAUCCCCACAUUAAGAUGCUACCACCAUCAUGCUUCACUGUGAAGGUGUUUUUCUCAUGGUGAUGAGCAGUGUUUAAUUUCUCUCAAACAUAGGGCUUUGUGCCAAGACCAAGAACUUCAGCUUUGGUUUAAUCAGAGUCUCCAACAUGCCUAUUGGCUAAUUCCAAAUGGGAUUUUGUAUGGCUAACCACUCUUCCAUAAAGCCCAGCUUUGUGGAUUGUUCUGGGUAUGGUUGUCUUGUGAACAGCUUAUACCAUUUUGGUUGCUUCUCUGUCUAAAGCCAUCUUUGCCUGGUCACUGACUUUUUGUGGACCUCCUCUACACAGAAUAACAGUUGUGCCAUAAAAAAAGGAUUUAACUGUUGAAAAUAUACUUCCUUUGAUAGUUCCUUGGUCUUCAUGAUGCUAUUUAUUUAUGUAUGUUCUCUAAAAAGAACUAUGGGUCUCUCUAGGAACAGUAUUUGUUUUGAGAUCAUGUGGCAUGCUUUUUGCACAGACAUGGAUUUGAGUACUUAUAUGAUAUCUGAUGACAACCAUGUACCUAAACUAAUUGAGGGGUUUUCCAGCAACAGGGUGAAUACUGAAAAUCAAAAUCGCAAGUUUUACAAUUUUAUUUGUAAAUAAUUUCACAAACUAUAUAUAUUUGCCUACCUACUUGGAUAUUAUGAGAUUGUAUGUAGAUAAAGGCCAUGUAAUUCCAAAUAAAUGCAUUUGAGUUUCAAGUUGUAACACUAGAAAAUGUGGAAAAGUUCAGGGGGGAGGGAUUAAUACAUGCAAGGCACUGUAACUAUAACAAUGCAUCUACACCAUUCAGCACAUGUGUACAGGACUCAAGGGCACAUUUCUUCCUUUCACAAUGGCCUUUGUAGGCAAGCCAUGAUAUAACUGCUGAAGCUUGCCAAAUAUCUCCGACAUUUUGUUCAAGUUAUUUUCAUCUCACCUUCCUGAAAAGGUCUCAUAAAUCUGAGUGUAGCCAAGUCACCUUUGGAAAGAUCAAGCCAUUGGGUUUAGCCUGACUAGUUUGUCUGCUUGAUUAAGUUCUCUGUUUCAUUUACAAGCUGUCUAUGAUCUGAGUCAGAUAAUGCCAAGUGGUCUGAUGUGGAGGUCUUAAAAGACUAGGACUUGGCAGCUAAUCUCAUUUCUUUUCCGUUCCAUACAAGAACCUCCAAUUUAAGGACAAAAAGGAAGAUUACACAAAAAUCCAUGGAGCCAAAAUGCAGCAACAUCUGAUUUUCAGGCAGAACUUCCAUACUGCUUAUUUGCCCUUACAAUAAUGCGAUCAUGUGGACUGAGUGUACUGUACACUAAAAUCGUUCCUGUUGCCAUAAAGACAAAAUUCUGAGUAUUCGGUGGAAUUAUUUCCUGCCUUCUUUGCAGUACUAAUGACCAUGGUGGAAAGCACAAGCGAGAUCUCUUUCUAAUAAAACAGAAAGCACUCAUUGUUCUCAGAGACUUUGGUGAAUACACACUGGAACAAUCCAUGUCUCUGUUCACAUCUGUCCCACCCGGUGACACUCCUUCGUUCAGUCUCAUAAAACUAUUGAUGAUGGCCAAGAUUUCAUCAAAAGAUUUUUCACACAUAAAGAGCCUAACAUUAAAUGUCUUGUUUUACUAAGGCUUAGACCAGUGUUCAGACCUGGGACAUAAUUUUUACCUUUUCUCUCUUUGACAGUGUUCUAUGUUGAAUUUUGAAGUUUCCUUUGAAGCAUUCAAAACUGAAGACACCUGAUGAAUUGGGCUACUCAUCUGCCUUACUGUCUCAGACAUUGUGUAGACUUUCAGCAGGAAACUCAUUUAUUUUGAUUGGUUCCUGAAAUGAAAUUAUUUCAGAUUGGCUCAUAGCAGGUUUCUGGGGUUAAAUGCAUUUUUUUUACUCUGUAACAGUGAUAAAAGAUCCGUGUAACAAAGUUGAAUAUUCUAUUUUUAAAAACACAAGUAAACAUAAAAGUACUAUGAUUUAAUUAUACUAAAAAUGUUUUGAUGUUUUAAUGUUGUCUGAUUUGUGAUGUGAAAAAUUUGUCAUUUCCACAAUAAUGGAAGUUAUAUCCUUUUUUUGAGUGAAUCAUUACCCUUAAAAGGAAGAAAGAGCAGCAGUAUGAUUAAAAAAAAAAAAAAAAAAAAAAAAAAAA